rnacentral:rRNA from 1 species
UACGAAGGGUGCAAGCGUUAAUCGGAAUUACUGGGCGUAAAGCGUGCGUAGGCGGUUCGUUAAGUCUGUCGUGAAAGCCCUGGGCUCAACCUGGGAAUGGCGAUGGAUACUGGCGAGCUAGAGUGUGAUAGAGGAUGGCGGAAUUCCCGGUGUAGCGGUGAAAUGCGUAGAGAUCGGGAGGAACACCGGUGGCGAAGGCGGCCACCUGGACGGUCACUGACGCUGAGGAGCGAAAGCGUGGGGAGCGAACAGG